CUCACUUAUCUGGCCAAUUAUGAUAAGUUUUGAAUCUGCGCCUGAUGAUUUGAGCUAUGUCCAUGCCCUAAUUGAUUAAAGAUUUGCAUGAGAUGUAAAUAGUAAAAAGAGACAUAAAUAAAUCUCCUCACGUAUAUUAAGUCUCGUGGUCUUCCAACAUUGUAAAGAUGCGGGCAUCUUCCUGGUGUUAAUUAUUAUCGACUGGUCGCAGUGGUUCAGUUGUAUCAAAAAGGUGCAACCACUCUAUUAGCAUUAGAUGCUCUGG
rnacentral:lncRNA from 1 species